GCGUUUAGUCCUGAAAAAAGGAAAGCAGAAAAGAGGCUUCAGAUUUAACAUUGUCAGCAAUAAGGUCCUGGGAUUCCAAUUAGUUGACUUUUUUUGUACAAAACUAUUAAAAAGAAGAGUCAAGAAAAACUCUUUAUUUGCAAUACCUGAGGAAGUGUUACAUUUACCAUAUCUACAGAAUUGCACCUUCAUGUUUGUAAUCUCGACAAUUUAUAUGCAACAUUUUGUUGAAAGAAUCCUCAGUAUUUAUUGUGAUGAACAAAAUAAAUAUUGGCUGUCAAGAGGCAAAUUGUAUGUUGACCAAAUAUGAAAAAUAAAGUUAUACAUGUUUCAAUCACC